GUUCAUGUUAUAUGUUCAGUCAUGCAUCACUAGUAUCUACAGAUUUCACGUACCUUCAGUAUUUACAGACUUUCAUGCAUACACAGUAUUUAUAGAUUUCAUAUAUUUUUAGUAUCUACGAAUCCCAUGCCCUCUAUUCAGUACACCAUAUUUUAUAUGUAUAUUUAGACAUUUGUUAUUCCUGUUCAUGAAACCAUGCAUGUCAGCCUACCUCAUUUAGCAUAUCAGUACAU
rnacentral:lncRNA from 1 species